rnacentral:rRNA from 1 species
GACGAACGCUGGCGGCGUGCUUAACACAUGCAAGUCGAACGAAGAGCGACGGAAGCUUGCUUCUAUCAAUCUUAGUGGCGAACGGGUGAGUCACGCGUAAUCAACCUGCCCUUCAGAGGGGGACAACAGUUGGUAACGACUGCUAAUACCGCAUACGCCCUAAUCUCGGUAUCGAGGAGGGAGGAAAGGUGGCCUGUACAUGUAAGCUAUCAUAGCAGGUGGGGAGUGCGUCUGAUUAGUUCGUUGGAGCGGUAACGGACCACGAAGGCGAUGAUGAGUAGUCCGUCUGAGAGGAUGAGUAGCCAGAUUGGGAGUGAGACAGGGCCCAGAGUCAUUCGGGAGGCAGCAAUGGGGAAUCGUGCGCAAUGGGCGGAAGACUGACGGAGAUACGCCGAGUGAGUAAGGACGGCCUUCGCGUUGUAGAGCUCUGUUAAUCGGGACGAAAGGGCUUCUUGCGAAUAGUGAGAAGGAUUGACGGUACCGGAAUAGAAAGCCACGGCUAACUACGUG